rnacentral:rRNA from 1 species
AUUGAACGCUGGCGGCAGGCCUAACACAUGCAAGUCGAGCGGUAGAGAGAAGCUUGCUUCCCUUGAGAGCGGCGGACGGGUGAGUAAUGCCUAGGAAUCUGCCUGAUAGUGGGGGAUAACGUCCGGAAACGGACGCUAAUACCGCAUACGUCCUACGGGAGAAAGUGGGGGCUCUUCGGACCUCACGCUAUCAGAUGAGCCUAGGUCGGAUUAGCUAGUUGGUGGGGUAAAGGCUCACCAAGGCGACGAUCCGUAACUGGUCUGAGAGGAUGAUCAGUCACCCUGGAACUGAGACACGGUCCAGACUCCUACGGGAGGCAGCAGUGGGGAAUAUUGGACAAUGGGCGAAAGCCUGAUCCAGCCAUGCCGCGUGUGUGAAGAAGGUCUUCGGAUUGUAAAGCACUUUAAGUUGGGAGGAAGGGUCGUUACCUAAUACGUGGCGAUUUUGACGUUACCGACAGAAUAAGCACCGGCUAACUCUGUGCCAGCCGCCGCAGUAACAC